UCUGUUAUGAUGAUCCUGUAAGGUUUGGCCUUUAUUCUAUUAAUGUGACAUAUUACAUUAAUUGACUUUUGAAUGUUAAGCCAAUCUUGCAUUCCUAGGAUAAAUCCUAUUUGAUCAUGGUGUAUAAUCCUGUUUAUACUCUACAAGACAUACAAAUGUGAACCUCUAAAAUCUGCUUUUACAAAGAUGGAAGAAUUAGAAAGUUUCAGUGUAUUCAAUCAAAAAUGCAAACUCACUGGUUCCUUUGGCACAGGGAAGCCUUGGGAGGGUAUUUGACAGUAUAAGUGGUUAAUGAGAUAUAAUUUGGAAGUCUACUGAGUGGGCAUCAGUAGUCUCAGGGAAGGCUAUUGUUUUACUGAUGAAAAGGUUCCAACUGAACUAUCCAGCAAAAGACUCAACUGUCCAUUCCCCAUGACUUGUGGUCUUGACGCCCCUUCUGGCUGCAAAGCAGGCUGCAAGUGGAGUAAGAGGAUUCUAUUACAUCUAAGAACCAUCUGACCAAACAGAGGCAAGGAGAGCAUCAAGACUGUGCUGGAAGGAAAAUGGCUUUCGGGCUCUUGGAAGAGUUGCCUACCCUGAUCCUCUGGGUUUGCUCUCCAGGUUCCAUUGGAACAAGAAAAGGAGAGAUGAUCAUACAAGCCAAAAUUUGAAGUGAUGUAGCUGUGACCCAAGGAACGCUAGCAGUUUCUAGAAGCUGAAGGAGACAAAGAACGCAUCUUCCCUUGGAGUCUCCAGAAGGAAUCAAUUCUGACAACAUCUUGCUUUUAGCCCAGAAGACUCCUGUCAGACUUCCAACCUCCAAAAUUGUAUGAGAACUAAUUUGUGUUGUUUUAGAUCAGUAAAUUUGUGGUAACUUGUUAAAG